AAAAAUAAUUUAAAAUCUUCAUAAAUUUAGGGUUAUUGGUUUUGUACUUUUAUAAAGUUAGUAAAAGUUUUGUGUUAUUCAAUUAAAACAAUAAAAUUGUGAUUGUUAAUGAAUUAAAUUAUUAUGUUAUUGGUUCAUGACAUUCUACACUUUUCUUUACAAAAUA
rnacentral:sRNA from 1 species